rnacentral:misc_RNA from 1 species
AUUAAAUCAUAUGGUGCUUACCAUGUCAUUACUGCUGUACUCUAUUGCUAUAUGAGUGUAAGUGAGCAAUUCUGGCCUUUGGCUGACUUAAAUUUCUUAGGCUGAUGUGUCCAGACUUCCAAAAAGCACAUGGUUGUAAACCAAAUCUGAGUUUCAGUGAUUACCUCUUUACACUUUUGGCUUAGAAAAUUUAGCUUCCUAUUAAGCAUGAAAUCGUAUUUUAAGAACACAGCAUCACUUUCUGCUGCCUGAUGGAUUCACUAUCUGAAGAUUCUGAACCAGUACUUUACUGGAAUUCACAGCUCUUAAUAUUAUGAAUGGCACAUGAUGUUUGUCCAGUCCACAAGAAGGCUUUAAA